AACGAACGCUGGCGGCAGGCCUAACACAUGCAAGUCGAGCGCUCACUUCGGUGGGAGCGGCGGACGGGUUAGUAACGCGUGGGAACGUGCCCAGAUCUGCGGAAUAGCCACUGGAAACGGUGAGUAAUACCGCAUACGCCCUUCGGGGAAGAUUUAUCGGAUUUGGAUCGGCCCGCGUUAGAUUAGGUAGUUGGUGAGGUAACGGCUCACCAAGCCUACGAUCUAUAGCUGGUUUUAGAGGAUGAUCAGCAACACUGGGACUGAGACACGGCCCAGACUCCUACGGGAGCAGCAGUGGGGAAUCUUGGACAAUGGGCGCAAGCCUGAUCCAGCCAUGCCGCGUGAGUGAUGAAAGGCCUUAGGGUCGUAAGCUCUUUCGCCUGUGAUGAUAAUGACAGUAGCAGGUAAA
rnacentral:rRNA from 1 species